rnacentral:rRNA from 1 species
UACGUAGGGGGCGAGCGUUGUCCGGAAUUAUUGGGCGUAAAGAGCGUGUAGGCGGUUCGGUAAGUCUGCCGUGAAAACCUGAGGCUCAACCUCGGGCGUGCGGUGGAUACUGCCGGGCUAGAGGACGGUAGAGGCGAGUGGAAUUCCCGGUGUAGCGGUGAAAUGCGCAGAUAUCAGGAGGAACACCGAUGGCGAAGGCAGCUCGCUGGGACGGUACUGACGCUGAGGCGCGAAGGCCAGGGGAGCAAACGGG